GACAACUGUAUAAAACAAAAAACUACACACAAUAUCCGAAGCACAUAGUGCACACUGUGGGAAUUUACGACUGUGCGUAAAUCCCCCCUAAUAUUGGUAUGAUCCGAGCUCAGGCACUAAGCGACUGAGCGAGGGGGCGGGGGGAGCUGCUGCCUCGAGUGCGCUGUUGGAGAAGCGCAGCCAGGCAGACAGAGGAGAACUGAAGUUUGACCAGCUCCAGUUCACUCUACUCACCUACCUGCCCUCCGGCCACAGUCAUGGCAGUCCACCGAUUCCCUGGAGUCUGGCUGCUUCACCUGGACCGCUCGACCUCCCCCAAACACCAGUUCUCUACCUGCAAAGUUGUACUGAGACUCCCGGAUGCAUCUCUGAUGCCCAUGCCCUUCCUCCUUGCCCUGAACCUAAACUUACAAAAUGAAUUUAGUUUUCUCUCAUGUUCUAUGUUCUUGUACCAGGUUCUAUAUCACAGAUUGUAUAACAGAUCUGGAAAGUCAUAGUUCAUGGUCUUGCCUUUGCAAUUUCGUGUUUUUGUGCAAUAAA